rnacentral:tRNA from 1 species
GCCGAUGUAGCUCACCUGGUAGAGCGUCGACCUCGUAAGUCGAAGGCACCCGGUUCAAGCCCGGGCAUCGGCU